UGGGAUUAAAGGCAUGUGCCACCACUACCCGGCAAAAAUUAAUUAAUUAAAUAUGUUUAUGUGGCUAGUAUAUUAUGUGUGCAGAAGCCCGUGAGGCCAAAAGCAGACCUCGGAUUCCCCAAAGCUGGAGUUCCAGGCAGCUGUGAACUGCCACUGGAAACUGAACCUAGUUCCCUGCAAGAGAAAUUAAGUGCUCUUAACUGCUGAGCCAUCUAUUCAGGGCCCCCAAAAUAGAAACUAUAAUAGAGAACCAAGUAGUGAUUUUGGAAUUGACAAACAGAAUAAAUAGAAUGAAAAAACCUAUGAUUAAAGAGCUAACAAACAAACAAGUACAAGUAGCCAUGAGAACAAGGUAUAAUAGAGAGAAUCCAUCACUAGUAGAUCUACUGAAGAAAACUAAAGCAAGUCCCUUAUAUAGAAUUUUAAGGACAUAGACGGUAACUUAUGUACACGUGAACUGUGAGGACGGUAACUUAUGGACAUGCGAACUGUGUCUACACGUAAAAUAAGUGAGUCAGUCCCCGUAAGUGACGUGACUGCAGUGGUGACCAGAAAGCAGUGAACUGUCACUGUGUCCGCAAUCUUCUACGUGAUUAGAAGACAAGAGAGAAAAACUCAGUAUAAGCCACGGUAACAGAUUGACGUAUGAGGUAUAAGCUGAUUCACAGGAGCACAAAGGAGGUGCACGGGGCAGGGCUGAAGGGAAUUAUUAAAUUAUACUGCUUUAAUCCUCAAGGUGAUCACUAAGAAAGUCACAUGACAAAACUCCAAAGAACUAGAUACAAAUAAAACACAUCACUGUAUAAAUACAAACUCUUUAACACGAAGGAUGGCAGCAGUGAGAGAGCAGAGCAGACAUGACGGGUGGACAUGAACUAAUGGCUGAAUAAAUCUAUCUCACCAUGUUACAUGGAAGUGAAUGUACACUACCAUAAAAAAUACAGAGUUUUAAAAAUGACUUAGCCGUAUGUUGCUUAUACUUCUAUUCAGAGACUGCAGGGACAGAGCUCCUCAACUGCUAACUACAGUAGGGUGAUCCUGAAAGGAUGACAAAGUAACAAAUGAGAGCUGGUGUGACCACAUGACCAGUGUAAUCUCAACUGCCAAAGCACAGUAUAAAUCAACAGAUAUACAACAUCAAAAUGAAGCUCUAGCCUCACCAGGCAAGUCACAGCUGGAAAACUGAGGAAGGAGGAGUUGCAAGUUCAGGCCAACCUGGGCAACACAGUAAAUUUGAGGCUAGACUAAAGUUUCUUUGGCCUGUCUUCCCUGAACACUGAUCACUGGUGACUUUAUGCCAAUGAAGCUUUGUAUCUCAGGAGUGUGGCUUCAGGGCAUGCCCCUUGAUGAUGACAUAAGAGUGACAAGAAACUGUAUAAAAUCAAAUGAAAGACAAAGUCAGACACGUAAACCAAAUGAGAGGGGCCCGAGAAUAUUAGAUCCUGGCAUCAAGACAGCUCAAGGUCAAGAUCCAAACCACAGUGAGGAGAAAAAGAUGUCUGCACCCACUGUGUACAGCUCAGGCAUCUGUGAGGUCCCAGCUUAGCCUAUUCAGAGGACAUCCAUACCAUCACAGCUUCACACUGACACUCAGGCAGAAAAGUCUGAGAGUCUUUAGUUACUUGGAACAAGCAGUGCUGUGCUAAGUCACCAUGCUUCUGCUUCUGGAACAACAAGUGCCACACAUCUAUGAAGGAUGCAUACUGCUCACAAUCAUAUUUUCACCAGAUAAAACAGAAACCAAGUACACUUACGUGGCAUCUAGCUGCAAGGUAUCGGCAAGCUUCAUACAGCUAGAAAAGAAAUAAGUAAAAAAGUCAAACGUUUUACAUGUGUAACAUGUAUGUGUAUUAUAUAAAAUAACACACAUCUGUAAUUUAAAAGAAAACAAGUGUGAACUGGAGAGUUUUAGAAUUUCUCUUUUACAAUUUCUCUUUUUAAAAAAAAAAGAAAAAAAAAAAAGAGCCCCAGUCUUUUUAGCCUGUAUUCAUCAAAAACAUGUUAAAGGCACUGAGGAUCCAAGAGAAGUUAUGUGCCUGUAAUCCCAACCACACAGGAGGCUGAGACAGGAGAAUUGCCCCGAGCACAAGAAUUGGAAACCAGACUAAGAAAAACAGUGAGACCUGAUCUCAAAACAAGCAAACUGGACUGUCCAGCCAGCUGCGGAGCUAAGAAAGGCACUUGUCACAGACUGAGGGCCAGAGUCUGGGCCUCAGAGAUCCACAUGAUAGGAGAGGACAAACUCCCACAGGUGGUUCAGGUCACACACACACACACACACACACACACACACACACACGCACACACACAGGCUAUAUAAGCAAGUAUAAUAUUAAAAAG